rnacentral:rRNA from 1 species
UACGAAGGGGGCUAGCGUUGUUCGGAUUUACUGGGCGUAAAGCGCACGUAGGCGGAUCUUUAAGUCAGGGGUGAAAUCCCGAGGCUCAACCUCGGAACUGCCUUUGAUACUGGAGAUCUUGAGUCCGGAAGAGGUGAGUGGAACUGCGAGUGUAGAGGUGAAAUUCGUAGAUAUUCGCAAGAACACCAGUGGCGAAGGCGGCUCACUGGCCCGGUACUGACGCUGAGGUGCGAAAGCGUGGGGAGCGAACAGG